rnacentral:piRNA from 1 species
UGCACAUGCGCACGUUUAUGCAAGUUUGU